rnacentral:rRNA from 1 species
UACGGGGGGGGCAAGCGUUGUUCGGAAUUACUGGGCGUAAAGGGCUCGUAGGCGGCCAACUAAGUCGGACGUGAAAUCCCUCGGCUUAACCGGGGAACUGCAUCCGAUACUGGAAGGCUCGAGUUUGGGAGAGGGAUGCGGAAUUCCAGGUGUAGCGGUGAAAUGCGUAGAUAUCUGGAGGAACACCGGUGGCGAAGGCGGCAUCCUGGACCAACACUGACGCUGAGGAGCGAAAGCCAGGGGAGCGAACAGG